rnacentral:lncRNA from 1 species
CGAACAGUGGCUUCACUCAUCUCUCUAGGCGCAGCACCGGUAGCACUGACCGAUCCAUGCCUUGCAUACCCUUCUGGUAGAACACCAGCUGACCUAGCUUCGGCAAAUGGACACAAAGGAAUUGCAGGGUUCCUUGCUCAAUCCUUCCUGCAUGCACAGCUCUCAUCUCUCGAUUUGAACAGGAAUAUGGGAGAAACUUCUGCAGCAAAAGUAUUUCACAGAAUCCAAGAACAAAACACUGCACAAGUUAAUCAUUAUGAGGGCCUGUCAUAUGAACUAUCAUUGAAAGAUUCACUGGCUGCAGUGUGCAAUGCCACCCAAGCUGCUGCUCGCAUUCAUCAAGUUUUCAGAGUGCAAUCCUUCCAGAGAAAACAACUCAAGGAACAUGGUGAGGACAGAUUUGGAAUAUCUGAUGAACAGGCUCUUUCACUUGUCACAAAGAAUGUGAAACCACACAAAUCUGGACAACGCAAUGAGCCUGCUCAUGUUGCUGCAACACGAAUCCAGAACAAGUUCCGCGGUUGGAAAGGCAGAAAAGAAUUUUUGCUGAUUCGACAAAGAAUCGUAAAAAUUCAGGUACCCUUUAAUUUUACUAGCAAUGUUUUAACAUACUUCGAAUUAAAUCAGACUUUAAAGAUCUAAUUUUUAGUUGGUCUUAUAGGCUCAUGUGAGAGGUCACCAGGUUAGGAAGAACCAUGGGAAGAUAAUUUGGUCAGUUGGAAUUCUUGAAAAGGUUGUUUUACGUUGGCGCCGAAAAGGAUGUGGUUUGCGUGGAUUUAAAUCGGAGGGAGUUUCAGAGGGAAAUAUGGUACAAGGUGAAUCUUCCACAGAGGAUGAAUAUGAUUUGUUAAAGGAAGGAAGGAAACAAACAGAGCAAAGGUUGCAGAUAGCCUUGGCUAGGGUUAAGUCAAUGGUUCAGUAUCCAGAGGCUCCCCUCUGGGCGCAGCACCGGUAGCACUGACCGAUCCAUGCCUUGCAUACCCUUCUGGUAGAACACCAGCUGACCUAGCUUCGGCAAAUGGACACAAAGGAAUUGCAGGGUUCCUUGCUCAAUCCUUCCUGCAUGCACAGCUCUCAUCUCUCGAUUUGAACAGGAAUAUGGGAGAAACUUCUGCAGCAAAAGUAUUUCACAGAAUCCAAGAACAAAACACUGCACAAGUUAAUCAUUAUGAGGGCCUGUCAUAUGAACUAUCAUUGAAAGAUUCACUGGCUGCAGUGUGCAAUGCCACCCAAGCUGCUGCUCGCAUUCAUCAAGUUUUCAGAGUGCAAUCCUUCCAGAGAAAACAACUCAAGGAACAUGGUGAGGACAGAUUUGGAAUAUCUGAUGAACAGGCUCUUUCACUUGUCACAAAGAAUGUGAAACCACACAAAUCUGGACAACGCAAUGAGCCUGCUCAUGUUGCUGCAACACGAAUCCAGAACAAGUUCCGCGGUUGGAAAGGCAGAAAAGAAUUU